CUGCCUCCCGUAAACCCUUGUAUAUGUCUCGUCGGGCAUCUAAAUGGAACCACAACUCACGCAAAUGAUGAGGAACCGCAGUGGAAGCAGCUUCAACUUGAGCCAACAAUUGCGCCUUUUUGGCCUCGAGGGCCACGACCCAGUCUCCCAAAUUUAAGGCUUCCCGAUCAAUUGCGCUGAUGCGCCCUUCGAGCCUUGCUCUCUAAGUGUGG
rnacentral:lncRNA from 1 species